rnacentral:rRNA from 1 species
AUUGAACGCUGGCGGCAGGCUUAACACAUGCAAGUCGAGCGGGGUGAUGGUGCUUGCACUAUCACUUAGCGGCGGACGGGUGAGUAAUGCUUAGGAAUCUGCCUAUUAGUGGGGGACAACAUCUCGAAAGGGAUGCUAAUACCGCAUACGUCCUACGGGAGAAAGCAGGGGAUCACUUGUGACCUUGCGCUAAUAGAUGAGCCUAAGUCGGAUUAGCUAGUUGGUGGGGUAAAGGCCUACCAAGGCGACGAUCUGUAGCGGGUCGGAGAGGAUGAUCCGCCACACUGGGACUAAGACACGGCGCAGACUCCUACGGGAGACAGCAGUGGGGAAUAUUGGACAAUGGGGGGAACCCUGAUCCAGCCAUGCCGCGUGUGUGAAGAAGGCCUUAUGGUUGUAAAGCACUUUAAGCGAGGAGGAGGCUCUUUUGGUUAAUACCCAAGAUGAGUGGACGUUACUCGCAGAAUAAGCACCGGCUAACUCUGUGCCAGCCGCCGCCGUAA